rnacentral:rRNA from 1 species
UACAGAGGUCCCAAGCGUUGUUCGGAUUCACUGGGCGUAAAGGGCGCGUAGGUGGCGGGGUAAGUCUGAUGUGAAAUCUCCGAGCUUAACUCGGAAACUGCAUCGGAUACUGCCUUGCUCGAGGGUUGGAGGGGGGACUGGAAUACUUGGUGUAGCAGUGAAAUUCGUAGAUAUCGAGAGGAACACCGGUGGCGAAGGCGGCCUUCUGGACAGUGACUGACGCUGAGACGCGAAAGCGUGGGGAGCAAACAGG